GACGGAGGGUGCUAGCGUUGUUCGGAAUUACUGGGCGUAAAGCGCGUGUAGGCGGCAUGGUAAGUCGAGUGUGAAAGCCCGAGGCUCAACCUCGGAAGUGCAUUCGAAACUGCCAUACUUGAGUACGGGAGAGGGAAGCGGAACUCCUGGUGUAGAGGUGAAAUUCGUAGAUAUCAGGAGGAACACCGGUGGCGAAGGCGGCUUCCUGGACCGAUACUGACGCUGAGACGCGAAAGCGUGGGGAGCAAACAGG
rnacentral:rRNA from 1 species